GUUGUUUUGUUCUACCAGCUACGUAUCUGUCUCGCCGUGUAACAUAAACAGCUUGUAGCUUCUGUGCGACAGCUAAUAAGGUUGAAAUGGUCGUUGUCAAAUCAAUGUUGAGGUGUAAUUGUGCUCAGGACUGCGUAUUUCAAGAAAUUGGAAGACUAUGCAGUGUCGUGCCACAAGGAAAAAUAUCAUGGGAAGAUAUGUAGGGUUGAAUUGAUGGGAGCAUGCGCUCGACUAACAGGAUUUUGAGGAACGUCUUCGCCAUGAAAUAGAAGAGAAACAAAGUGCCCGGAGACAACAGAAUUACUCCGACAAGAAGAAGAUGCCUCAGAAGAAUUUAUUUUUGAUUUACAAAUUGUUUACUGCUUUCUUAUUGGCUUGAUUUUUUAUGUUGUUACGCGUUCGCGGCUCGCUUAUUUUGGCUAAAUGCAAAGAGCUGCGGAUGCUGUGGCGCGUAGUUCUGAAUCCUUACAAUUGUGUUUUGUGGGUGACUGUGGAGUUAAAGAAUUUACACCUGACUCCUGCUCAGAGUCGUUUUAAAACGACUCCGGCUUUAGAGAUAGAGAAUUUCAACUUCCGCAUUCAGCUUCCAUCUCCCGAAGACUGAAUUUAGAGGUGCUUAUGCUUUUGCAGCGGUGCGAAUUCACGGAUAGGUUUGUGAAACCCUGCGCAGAUUCCAUGUGCUGCAAAGCAAAUAUGAUCCAUAAUAUGAUGGCGACAGUAAAAGACUUUAUUUCCAAACACGGGCCAACAGAAAAAACACGUACAAUUUUAACACUAUAGCGUGACCGGAACAGAAUUACACGACACAAAGUGGUCACGUUGUAACCUGAAUAAGCAAAAACAUAGUCGGUCUGAUGACCCAUGGGGAAGUAGAGAAAGAAGCUCCAACCACGCAAAUUCUAGCACAUUAUGAAGUAUAUUUAUUUCACAAAAGCAAUCAAGUAUAUAACAAACAACUUCAAUUCCAACCACAAAAUUCUUGUUUCCGCGAAAUGAAAUUGAGGUGCAGUCUGGGGCUUUUCACAGAAUUUUUCUGUAAAUAUUCUCUGGCAAUCUCUAACUAACUGACUAUUAGUAAAUCCCGUCGCUUCAGUUAUGGCACGGCAAUGCUUGUCCUUAGUGGCAAAACGUAAUAAUUUAUAGCAAGAGAGAAACAUAAAUUGGGCAACAAAUACCGAUCCACCUAUCUCUCAAACAGUCUUAUAUCCACAUGACAUCAGCAAAUCGUACAACGAACGGGACAGUUACACUUCGAACAAACUUGUCUGUCACAACUAUAGGAUCAGAAUUAAUUAGACCAGGGUGACAAACUCGCGGGCCCCAUGUGGCCCAAGAGAGCUUCCAAUGCGGCCCUCGAACGCUCAAAAAUAAUUGUAAUAUUUUGUAAGUUUUUACAUUUUUCAAACCUUUCAGAGGAAUUGAUUCACACAGAAAAUGACAAUUUACUGAAAGUAGUUUGAAAAUUAAAAUUUUUUUUUUUUUCAAUUUUACCCAAUUAUGGAUACACCUCAAGCUAGCAAAAGAAUACUUACUUGAAACGCAUAGUACAUGAAGAAGGUGGCAUUUUUGAAGAAAAAUGGGAGUUGCAAUAUUUCUGCAUUUCUCAAAAUUUGUCACAUUCACAUCCGUACAAUGAAUGAAAGAAUACAAACAACAUUAUCAUAGCUCAUCAGCAGUCAAUAUGACGAAUUUAUAGAUCAACUUCGAACGGAAACUUUUUAUGUGUUUGUAUAUCAUUAGAAUUAUACAACUACCUAGUUACUAAAAAUCAAUAUCAAUCAUAAUAACUCAAGCGGUCCUAUAUAACGUAAUGGUAGGAAAUGUGACGGGAAAAUGUCGGGUCCGAAAAGUCAUUUGUUUGUUUACUGAUCUAUACAUGAAAUGAUAAACGUAAUAUUUUUGCAUCACUGAAAUAAAUCGAACAUUCUCAACGAUCCAGAUUAAUCGAUGAUCUUGUGACCUCGUUAAUUAGAGUUGGUACUGCGAAAUCAUUUCAUCCUGUUUUUCAUAAGCUGUUGACGCAAAAGAGACGCCAAACGUCGGGGCAUAUUUAAAUGAUGAAACAUUGAGUUUAUUCAGAAUUACUAAUAAUAACAAGAACCCAUAGGACCCACAACAAGUUUUGAAAUAAAUAAAAGAGCGAUGUUCAAAUAUAUAAACAUGAAAGUCAAAAGAAAGCAGUAGAGUCCGUUACCUCUUUACGGUACCUUACAUAUAUAUAGUCUGGUACAGUCAGCACGAGAGAGGUCGCAGACCCGCUACGAACAAUUUUAUUAAUUUUGAAGUGUUCAUAAGACAGCACAUGUCAUAGAGGUAGAGCAUACGGAAAGUUUUAUAAUAAAUCUAAAUUAAAAAUACAAUCUUCAAUCACUGAAAAUGUCGAGCGAUCCAGUAGUGAUUUUUUCACAACAACGUGAAGGAAAUUACUGACAACAUAAUAACAAAUCAAUCCAUAUGUACAUUCCGUGUCUGAGUCGCAUGGCUUUCGUUUUUACUAUAUACGUAUUGAGGAGGUCAAGGAUGGCAUUUUCGGUAUUAUGAUUCUACAAGCUUGUUUACGUUUUUUCCCUAAAGCGAUUAUGAUGAAUUAGUAACGUGGGGUGAAUACGCUUGUCACAAGGCUUCUUUGUCUAAGACUGCUGUCUUGAUAUUAGCGUUGUAUUUAUAACGUGCUGAAUCGAGUUAUAAAUAUUGGGAUCAAGCUUUUUUUUCCACGUUCAUUUCCAUCCGUAAACUAUGACCCAUCAAUUGCACCCAGUAUGCUUGACCCAUGGACGUCGACAUUGCAUCGAUGAAUUGCAUCGUUGUUAAUUAUAUCAUAUAGGUAUUGAAAAUCAAAUCAUAUUUACAAAUAAUAAAUAUAAUCCUGAUUAGGUUUUUUAUUCACAUUAUGAACAGGGACCAUUGUACCAAAAUCAUCUUUGUUGUCGUAUAUUUUUUUAUCAACGCCGUAACACAGAAGUACUAUAAUCAUGAAUCGUAAAUCCCAGUAUACCAGCGGUUCCAAAACUAUGAGUCACGACCCACUGGAGGGUCGCAAAAGGAAUCUUGGUGGGUCGUGAAGAGAUGUAGAAAGCUUUGAUUAAUUAUACUGGUUAUUAGGAUCGGUGGCGACUCGAAUACGUAAAUCUUCAAACAAUAAAAAAAA